ensembl:snRNA U6 U6 spliceosomal RNA
GUGCUCACUUUGGCAGAACAUACACUAAGAUUGGAAUGACACAGAGAAAUUAGCAAGGCCCCUGAACAAGGAUGACAUGCAAAUUCGUAUAGUAUUCCAAAUUUUA